rnacentral:rRNA from 1 species
UACGGGGGGAGCAAGCGUUGUUCGGAUUUACUGGGCGUAAAGGGUGCGUAGGCGGCGUGGUAAGUUGGGUGUGAAAUCCCUCGGCUCAACCGAGGAACUGCGCCCAAAACUACCAUGCUUGAGGAAGAUAGAGGUAAGCGGAACUUACGGUGGAGCGGUGAAAUGCGUUGAUAUCGUAAGGAACACCUGUGGCGAAAGCGGCUUACUGGGUCUUUUCUGACGCUGAUGCACGAAAGCCAGGGGAGCAAACGGG